rnacentral:rRNA from 1 species
GACGAACGCUGGCGGCGUGCUUAACACAUGCAAGUCGAACGGAAAGGCGCCUUUGUGGGUACUCGAGUGGCGAACGGGUGAGUAACACGUGAGUAACCUGCACUUGACUUCGGGAUAACUUCAGGAAACUGGGGCUAAUACCGGAAAGGGAUCCUUGCUGCAUGGGGAGGGUUGGAAAGCUUCAGCGGUUUUGGAUGUACUCGCGGCUUAUCAGCUUGUUGGUGGGGUAGUGGCUUACCAAGGCUUUGUCGGGUAGCCGGCCUGAGAGGGCGACCGGCCAUACUGACACUGACGGACGGCCCAGACACCUACGGGAGGGAGCAGGGGGGAAUAUUGCACAAGGGGCGGAAGGCGGAUGCAGCAACUCCGCGGGCGGUAUGACGGUCUUCGGGUUGUAAACCGCUUUCAGCAGGGGCUAUGCAUGUGGUGACGGUACCUGCACAAGAAGCAACGGCUAACUACGUG